rnacentral:rRNA from 1 species
CUAAAAUUAAUAAUAAAAAAUUUAUCAAUUUGUUUUGUAUCUUAGUUUAUUGAGGAUAAGCUCAGUAAAAAUAAUAAAAUAGUAUAUAUCUCAUAUAAUUAACCACGUGGGCUUGAAAUUAGCCAUUGUGUCAAAGUUUGUUACAAAAUAGUCUCUAUAUGCAGAAAGAUUAAUAUACUUUUUUUUAUAGGGGUAACACGAAAAACCAUAGUAUCUUGAUUCACUUAUGCUAGGAUGAGUAUUAGUGUAUAAGAUAUAUAAACAAAAACAGAAAGAUAUACAAAAUAACUUUACUUAAAAUUAAAUAAGAAUAAGGAAUUCAGCAAACGCUUAGCUCCGCCUGUUUAUCAAAAACAUGGCUCUUUGUUAAUCAAAUAUAAAGAGUCGGACCUGCCCAGUGAAGUUUUAACGGCCGCGGUACUCUGACCGUGCAAAGGUAGCAUAAUCAUUUGCCUUAUAAUUGAAGGCUUGUAUGAAUGGUUUGACGGGAGCAUUACUGUCUUUUUCUUACUUUAUAGAACUUGACCUCUAGGUGAAGAGGCCUAGAUACAGUUGAAAGACAAAAAGACCCUGUCGAGCUUAAAAAGGAAUCAGAAUAAUUUUAUUAUCCAAGAUCAAUUACUGACUAAUUUUUUUGGUUGGGGCGACCAAGGAACAAAAAAGCUUCCUCUACUUUCCUAGCUAAUAAGCAUAGAUCCAGAAAAAGCUGAUUAAAAGAAAUAGUUACCGCAGGGAUAACAGCAUAAUCUCUCUUGAGAGACCUAAUCGAAAGAGGGGGUUGUGACCUCGAUGUUGGACUAGAAUAUCCUAAAGAUGCAGAAGUCU